AGUGCUUAGAGAAAACUCUAGGGUAAGAAAUAGCUAAUUAAUGUCUCAUCAAUCCUAGAACAAUCCUUUUAAACCUUUCAAGGCAAAAUCAUAGCAUGCACUUGAAAAAAAGAAAUGAUCUAGGUAUUCUUUGAAUUUUAAACUCAUAUUUUAGCCUUAACCAACCUCACUUUAAAAUUUCUCUUUGGAACCAAUUUAAGCCUACAUUUAUCCCUCUUACUUCUUUAGAACCCACAUUAAUGCCUAGCCAUAAACC
rnacentral:misc_RNA from 1 species